rnacentral:sRNA from 1 species
UGCAAAGGUGAUUGGAUCUGAUGGAUCCGU